UACGUAGGGACCGAGCGUUGUCCGGAUUCAUUGGGCGUAAAGAGCUCGUAGGCGGCUGCUCAAGUCGAAUGUGAAAACUCGAGGCUCAACCUCGAGCCUGCAUUCGAUACUGGAUGGCUAGAGUCUGGUAGGGGGAUCUGGAAUUCCUGGUGUAGCGGUGGAAUGCGCAGAUAUCUGGAGGAACACCGGUGGCGAAGGCGGCAUCCUGGACCGGUAUUGACGCUGAGGCGCGAAAGCCAGGGGAGCAAACGGG
rnacentral:rRNA from 1 species